UUUGCACAUUAGGCCUGGGGCGYGUCCUACCCURUGACUCUGUCUCAUUGUUAUUCAGUGUGCAUAAAGUUAGUUCAGCUUGUCGCCUUUCKUGACUGUACAAAGUGUCACUGAAAGUGAAUCAAGAUGAUACAAGU